UGGAGGGCAAGUCUGGUGCCAGCAGCCGCGGUAAUUCCAGCCCCAAUAGCGUAUAUUAAAGUUGUUGCAGUUAAAAAGCUCGUAGUUGAAUUUCGGGGUUAGUAGGUUGGUCGUGCCUAUGGUACGCACUGGCUUUACUGAUUCCUCCUUCUUGAAGAACUGUUAUGUCAUUAAUUUGGUGUUGCAGGGAAACAGGACUGUUACUUUGAAAAAAUUAGAGUGUUUAAAGCAGGC
rnacentral:rRNA from 1 species